AGCGAACGCUGGCGGCAGGCCUAACACAUGCCAGUCGAACGAACCUUUCGGGGUUAGUGGCGGACGGGUGAGUAACACGUGGGAACGUGCCUUUAGGUUCGGAAUAACUCAGGGAAACUUGUGCUAAUACCGAAUGUGCCCUUCGGGGGAAAGAUUAAUCGCCUUUAGAGCGGCCCGCGUCUGAUUAGCUAGUUGGUUGAGGUAAUGGCUCACCAAGGCGACGAUCAGUAGCUGGUUUGAGAGGAUGAUCAGCCACAUUGGGACUGAGACACGGCCCAAACUCCUACGGGAGGCAGCAGUGGGGAAUCUUGCGCAAUGGGCGAAAGCCUGACGCAGCCAUGCCGCGUGAAUGAUGAAGGUCUUAGGAUUGUAAAAUUCUUUCACCGGGGACGAUAAUGACGGUACCCGGAGAAGAAGCCCCGGCUAACUUCGUG
rnacentral:rRNA from 1 species